rfam:Clostridium tyrobutyricum DIVETGP, WGS project CBXI01000000 data, contig: NODE_5
UAAUAUCAUUAGCCUAAGUUUAACAAAAAACGCGGGGAACCCAAAAAAGACUAUUGGGGUGAAUCGUUAUUUUACGUAGGUUAUGCCUUUACCGAACCCGUCAGCUAACCCCGUAGGUAACAAGGAGAGGAUAA